CAGACAGCCACACACUGCCCUGCCCCGCCCCGGAGCCAAUACUAGCAGCAGGGGCAGCAGCAGGAGCAACCAGAACCAUGCAUCAUUUGUUGAUGAGCUAAACUUUGACCAAGAAAAGUCGCAACAGACAGAGGGCAAAGGACGACAGGGUCAGGCCCAGGCCACAGAGAGAGAGAGAAACGCUCGAAUUAAGCAAAAGUCUGGUUAAACAGAAAAGUUGUUGGCCCUUGAUAAACAUCUGCUUGGCGGACAGUAGCUAGAGUCGGAGCCCCUCCCACCAGGAUGACAACUUAAAUUGCUAGUUGGCUGAUAAGCCACCAGCAGUAGCCAUCUACCCAGCCCUUGAGCCACCCCUGCUGCUGCAGCAGCACCCCUCAACCC
rnacentral:lncRNA from 1 species